UACGUAGGGUGCAAGCGUUGUCCGGAAUUAUUGGGCGUAAAGAGCUCGUAGGCGGUUUGUCGCGUCUGCUGUGAAAACUCGGGGCUUAACUCCGGGCCUGCAGUGGGUACGGGCAGACUAGAGUUCGGUAGGGGAGACUGGAAUUCCUGGUGUAGCGGUGAAAUGCGCAGAUAUCAGGAGGAACACCGGUGGCGAAGGCGGUUCUCUGGGACGGUACUGACGCUGAGACGCGAAAGCGUGGGGAGCGAACAGG
rnacentral:rRNA from 1 species